UUAAAUCAAAAGUUGACGGGUUGAAGAGUGUUGAGAAACAGAACCAACUUAGUCAACCAAGGAAUGAGUUAGUUGACUAAGUGCACACUACUAGAAUUGCCAGAAACUAGAAGCAGAAGACAGAGAUGACUUAGUCAACUAAGCCAUAUGUUAGUCGACUAAGAGCAUUCUGCCUGUAAUUUUGAAGUCUGCACUAAAAGACAGAUUAAUGACUAGAUUAGCUACCAAACUGUUUCCAACGAUCAAAAAUUGCCUAACUCCCAUCAGAGCUGCUUUUUUCAAGUAUAAAAAGUGUCAUGACCCGGAACUCCCAUCGGCCCCGUGACAACUGUCGCGACGUCCCGAUAGGCACUCAUUACCUCGAAUGCCGAUCGGAACCCUGCAAGACUUAGCAUCAGCUUCUGCAUCUCCCUGGUGAGUGACAGUUAUUAAAUCUUGCAUUUCAAGAAAUCAUAAGUCGUUUCCAAAUCAAAAUAAUAAAAUAUUAUUUUCUGGCUCACAGGGGCAUUUUUAUCAUUUUUCUUCAAAAAUAUUGAAACCCGCCAAAAAUAUGGUGUAAAAGCUAAAUAUGUUCAUACAUAUUUUAAAUCAAAUAACUAAAGUAUAAAAUUACUUUUACAAUGACACGUGGGCCCUCAACUAACCAAUAAGAUUCGAGUCUGUGAACCUAUAAUUUUGACAAUGCAAGGCUAACUGAAGUCCUUGAUGCAAUCGGCUAUCUACCAGCUAUCCCGAACCUGAAAUGUGGGGAAUUGAGGGUGGUGAGAUUAUAAAAUCCUAGUGAGUAAACAAACACCAUCUAAACUAUCUAAAGGCGAGUAAAUGGAGACAAUUAAAAAAUAAUUAACUUCAGCAAAUUUUUCACAUCACGAAUAUUCAUUUCAACCAAAUAAUCAAUAUGGCUCGUGAAUUACUCAAAACUUGGCUCAUGCCAAAUCCUGUACUCGGUGACACCUGGACCAGGGGUAUCCAACCGAGUUCGCCAAGGUUGUUAAAAAUUCAUAUUUCACAUAAAUCAUAUUUUUAUUUUGAAACAUAGCCGUUCCUUAGAGUUGGCUGAGUCUCACUCUCACGCGGUGGUCCACGUGAAGUGCACUCAAAAAGCCCACCUCAGGAGAUACCCUACGCACCUCUACGACUGAGGUGAGAAUAUAAAGGAGUUUACCGUGCCCUUUUAAUAGGCUGGCCCACGGAACCCCCUACUACUGCAGUAGCUAAUCUUUUAUCUACCACCUGAUUUAUAAAAUCUUUUUUUGCAUGACAUGGCAAUUUAUCGCAACCUAGCCUAUCAAGGCUAAAUACACAGUACAAAUAAUUCUAACACCAAAAUCAGUUUAGCCAUUCAUGCUCAUUUAUUGUCAUAAGCCAUUCAAUUUAAAACCAUUAAAAUUUACAAUACAAGCAGGCAGUCUCCAAUUACUCUAUUUUCAAAACCAGUAUUCGAUUUUCCAGAAAAUUUAUAAAAUCAUUUUAUAAAAUCACAAUUUCUCUUAAAACAUAGCAAUUUACCAUUUAAACCCAUUUUCCAUAAAAUCACAUAAUUGUAUAAAACUACUCUAGAUAAUUAAGACGAUAAUAAGUUUACUCACAGUUUCUGAAAACUAAAUUCGGGUACUCCAACUAUUACUCCUCGGGUGCGAUUUCUUUGCCC
rnacentral:lncRNA from 1 species